CACACAUCAGUGUGUGCGUGGGGAACGACCAGAGCAGGAAGAAAAAGGGUAAAACCCUAAACUCCACAAAAUCUUCUAAUUGAAGGUGCAAUUGAAGACCAAACUCGGAUUUGAAUACAUAUAAACGAUCACCGAGCUAAGGGGAUCGUAAGCUGUACCUUAUAUGUUUGCGAAGUUGACUCUAAACAAGCUAGGUGGGAGCUUGGAAAGGAACGGGUCAAACGGAUCAUGGAUGCGAAGAAUGUUUGCGCGAACGCGAGGUAAGUAAAGCUUACACCCAUUUGUAGUAAACGUAUGUAUUUUAUAGAUGAUAAAUGUGACAACCGAUUACAUUCGAAAUUGAAGUUCCGACACUAAGCAAUAUGAGUCGGAACGAAUAAAAAUGAUCAAAACCAUGGUUAAUGGUAAAAUGGACAAAAGGGUAAUUUAGUCGUGGAUCGACUAAGAAUUUAUAAGAUUUCUUUAAGGUUACCUUAUAGCGAAACUAGUAAUGGGAAAAAGGGUAAAUUAGUCACAUGUUGACUAUAUGUAAGUUGGGAUUAAAAAGAAUACCCAUGGUGUAAGCCAUAACGAGUUAGAUACGUA
rnacentral:lncRNA from 1 species